GAUAAAAGUUGUUUGUUGGUUUUGGAGCCGGAAGAGAAGAGGAGGAUUACUACAGGCUUGGCAGCAGCUUCAGGAACUGCUUGUCCUCAUAGUCAAAGCGGCUUCCGAAGACAACAGAACUGAUGACGUUGGAGACAGUGCGGCUCAGGAAGAAGCACCACAGUUUCCCAGGGCAUCGCCUUAAUCCUUACAGUUGAAGAUGGACUUCCACCUCAUGUGCCAGGUCUACAUUCCAACCAGCAGGAUGAUGGGACACAGGAGUGGCACAACCUGGAAGCACCCCCUCCUCGCUCAUGUCCACACCCUCCAACUUUGUCCUCUGAGAGCAUGGAACACUCUAGCGUCAGUGGGAACCAAGUUCAAGUCCUGCCUCUGCUACUUUCUUGGUUUGUGUGAUCCUGAACAAGAAAGACGCCUCAUUUCUUUGAGCCUCUGUUUCCAUUUCUGAAAAAAUGAGGAUACCAUUAACAGUACCUCCUUUGCAAAGUUGUUGUACGGAUUAAAUAUACUGAAAGCCA